CCAUAUCAUUCUGCGAGAAUCGAGCUCUGCCCAGCUGCAUCAUCUGACACCUCAAGGAAGGGCCAAGUCUUCACAGAAAUGCUCAACAACUGCUUAGAUCAGAUCCGUGCGCCGUCAUCCGACACCCGGAUAUUCAUGCGCUGUGAUGUGAAUUUCGACCAGUCCAACCAAGGUCGAAGCCUAAACACCAUGAUUGGCAGAGCAGCCCACAUCGAGUUCCUGGAGACUGACCUCUACGCCAAGUUCAUCAUGUGGUCCUUCCCUGAUCUGUUCCGAUGAUGACUGCUGCUCAUCUCUGUGAUACUGCCACAUACCAAACCAAUAGUGCACACUACUGAGU
rnacentral:lncRNA from 1 species